rnacentral:piRNA from 1 species
GAUAGAUAGAUGAUAGGUAC